rnacentral:rRNA from 1 species
UAGGGAAUCUUCGGCAAUGGGGGGAACCCUGACCGAGCAACGCCGCGUGAGUGAAGAAGGUUUUCGGAUCGUAAAGCUCUGUUGUUAAGGAAGAACGAGUGUGAGAAUGGAAAGUUCAUGCUGUGACGGUACUUAACCAGAAAGGGACGGCUAACUACGUGCCAGCAGCCGCGGUAAUACGUAGGUCCCGAGCGUUGUCCGGAUUUAUUGGGCGUAAAGCGAGCGCAGGCGGUUAGAAAAGUCUGAAGUGAAAGGCAGUGGCUCAACCAUUGUAGGCUUUGGAAACUGUUUAGCUUGAGUGCAGAAGGGGAGAGUGGAAUUCCAUGUGUAGCGGUGAAAUGCGUAGAUAUAUGGAGGAACACCGGUGGCGAAAGCGGCUCUCUGGUCUGUAACUGACGCUGAGGCUCGAAAGCGGGGGGAGCGAACAGG